rnacentral:piRNA from 1 species
UGAGCUUAGUUGGAGUUGGGAGUGAGUC